GGUUUGUGGCUCCAUGGUAGAGCACUCACCUAGCAUGUGGGAGGUGCUGGGUUCAAUCCUCAGCACCA
rnacentral:tRNA from 1 species